AUUGAACGCUGGCGGAAUGCUUUACACAUGCAAGUCGAACGGCAGCACGGACUUCGGUCUGGUGGCGAGUGGCGAACGGGUGAGUAAUGUAUCGGAACGUGCCCAGUCGUGGGGGAUAACGUAGUGAAAAUUACGCUAAUACCGCAUACGAUCUAUGGAUGAAAGCGGGGGAUCGCAAGACCUCGCGCGAUUGGAGCGGCCGAUAUCAGAGUAGGUAGUUGGUGGGGUAAAGGCCCACCAAGCCAACGAUCUGUAGCUGGUCUGAGAGGACGACCAGCCACACUGGAACUGAGACACGGUCCAGACUCCUACGGGAGGUAGCAGUGGGGAAUUUUGGACAAUGGGCGAAAGCCUGAUCCAGCCAUUCCGCGUGCAGGAUGAAGGCCCUCGGGUUGCAAACUGCUUUUGUACAGAACGAAAAGGUUUCUACUAAUACUAGGAGCUCAUGACGGUACUGUAAGAAUAAGCACCGGCUAACUACGUGCCAGCCGCCGCGGUAA
rnacentral:rRNA from 1 species